rnacentral:rRNA from 1 species
GAGUUUGAACCUGGCUCAGGACGAACGCUGGCGGCGUGCUUAACACAUGCAAGUCGAACGGGCUCUAGCAAUAGAGCUAGUGGCGGACGGGUGAGUAACACGUGAGCAACCUGCCCUAUACAACGGGAUAACACUAAGAAAUUGGUGCUAAUACGGUAUAAGACCACGAUGAGGCAUCUCAUAGGGGUAAAAGCUGAGGCGGUAUAGGAGGGGCUCGCGGCCCAUUAGAUAGUUGGUGAGGUAACGGCCCACCAAGUCGACGAUGGGUAGCCGACCUGAGAGGGUGAUCGGCCACAUUGGAACUGAGAUACGGUCCAAACUCCUACGGGAGGCAGCAGUGGGGAAUAUUGGGCAAUGGAGGCAACUCUGACCCAGCAACGCCGCGUGAAUGAAGAAGGCCUUCGGGUUGUAAAGUUCUUUAAUUGGGGACGAAGAAAGUGACGGUACCCAAAGAAUAAGCCACGGCUAACUACGUGCCAGCAGCCGCGGUAAUACGUAGGUGGCAAGCGUUGUCCGGAAUGACUGGGCGUAAAGGGAGCGUAGGCGGCGCAGUAAGUUAGGAGUGAAAUCCCGGGGCUCAACCCCGGAACUGCUUUUAAAACUGCUGUGCUUGAGUGAUGGAGAGGAAAGCGGAAUUCCUAGUGUAGCGGUGGAAUGCGUAGAUAUUAGGAGGAACACCAGAGGCGAAGGCGGCUUUCUGGACAUUAACUGACGCUGAGGCUCGAAAGCGUGGGGA